rnacentral:rRNA from 1 species
GAUGAACGCUGGCGGCGCGCCUAACACAUGCAAGUCGAACGAUUAAAGCACCUUCGGGUGUGUAUAAAGUGGCGAACGGCUGAGUAACACGUGGGCAACCUGCCCCUCUCAUUGGGAUAGCCACGGGAAACCGUGGAUAAUACCGAAUACUUCGAGACUUCCGCAUGGAAGACUCGAGAAAGCUCCGGCGGUGAGGGAUGGGCCCGCGGCCUGUUAGCUCGUUUGUGGGGUAACGGCCUACCACGGCAAUGAUGGGUAGCUGGGUUGAGAGACCAACCAGCCAGCUGGGGACUGAGAGAGGGCCCAGACGCCAACGGGAGGCAGCGGUGGGAAACCUUACAGAGCGGCCGAGAGCCAGAGGCGGCGACCCCGGGAGCGGAAAAAAGGCUUUCGGGUGAAAAACCGCUUUGAGCGGGAACAAGCACAACGUGACGGUACCUAAAGAGAAAGCCACGGCUAACUACGUG